GGAGAGGAGGUUAACAGUACAUCUGCCAGAAUUUUAUUGUCACCCCGCAAUCAAAACCCUCGACAAUCUUGCACAAAAAGAGGGAUAGAAAAGGGCAGCACGUUUCAGCAGAAUCCCUGGCUAGAUUAAUUGAAAGCUGAACUUGCUUUCAUGACUUCAUAAACUUGCAUUAUUAGGAAUAAAACUGCAAUGCUAAAACUUUCCACAAGAUGUAGCUGCUGCUCUUUGAAAUAUUGGCUGCACUAGACUGGGCUGUGCUUCAGCCCAUUGCAGUGCUGGACAUCAUUCCUUUCGAGUUGUGCUUCAUGCUAAUAAGAUCAUUGUUUUGAUGGAUUCCUGUUGGAAAGGAUAAAGAGCUAUGAAGUGGUGUAUGCCAACAGAUUGCAGCUUUUUUGCCCCACCACAGUGUCUUGAAGCUUUUGCUGUUCAUCAUGAGCUGAGCAUCUCACCUGUGUCCCUGACUGCAGGGGCUUCAUCUUGAGGAGCAGAGCCCCAUGUCAAGGCCAUGUUAAACUAGUGAGAGCUGGAAUCAGUGAGUGGCCCUGAACUGAACAUAUAUCUGCAAGUCUGAAAAGCUGGUGCAUUAGCCCACCUUGCCACCCCUUUUAUAACAGUGACUGACAAAGCUUGGAAGGAUGUUUAUACAAGAGCCAGCUCUCGUUAUGUGAAUUGAACUUCUGCUCCCCUUUCCUUUUCAAUCUGACAUCAAAACACUUCAGUAGAAUAAAUAUAACAACUAUAUAA